rnacentral:rRNA from 1 species
GAAAUAAAAGAAGGGUCCCAGGCCUGGCCCAGGUGACAAAUGUUCAACGGCCGCGGUAUCCUAACCGUGCGAAGGUAGCGUAAUCACUUGUUCUUUAAAUGAGGACUAGUAUGAAUGGCACCACGAGGGUUGCACUGUCUCCUUUCCCUAAUCAAUGAAACUAAUCUCCCCGUGAAGAAGCGGGGGUACUAAUAUAAGACGAGAAGACCCUAUGGAGCUUUAAAUUUCUCUUCAAACGCCAGACACAAACAUCUGACACUUUACAUUAACCCGACGCCUUGAAGAUGAAUUUUAGGUUGGGGUGACCAUGGAGAACAAAAUAACCUCCACGCUGAAAAGGCCUCCAAGCCUUGAGCCGAGGGCUACAACCCAACGCACUAAAAAAUUAACACCCAUUGACCCAAUAUUUUUGAUCAACGAACCAAGUUACCCUAGGGAUAACAGCGCAAUCUACUUCAAGAGUCCCUAUCGACAAGUGGGUUUACGACCUCGAUGUUGGAUCAGGGUAUCCCAGUGGUGCAGCCGCUACUAAAGGUUCGUUUGUUCAACGAUUAAAACCCUACGUGAUCUGAGUUCAGACCGGA